UAUAUCCAGGGUUGUCUCCCUUUGUGCUUUCUUUAUUAUUUCUAUUUCCAUUCUCAAUUCCUUCACCUGUUUGAUUUUGUUUUCUUGUAAUUCUUUCAGGGAUUUUUGUGUUUCCUCUCUAAGGGCUUCUACUUCUUUACUUGUGUUUUCCUGCAUUUCUCUAAGCGAGUUCUGUAUGUCUUUCUUAAAGUCCUCCAUCAUCCUGGUCAAAUGUGAUUUUAAAUCUAUAUCUUGCUUUUCUGGUGUGUUUGGAUAUUCAGUGUUUGCUUUGGUGGGAGAAUUGCGCUCUGAUGAUGCCAUGUAUUCUUGGUUUAUGUUGCUUUGGUUCCUGCGCUUGCCUCUCGGCAUCAGGUUGUCUCUGUUGUUACCUUGUUCUGCUAUUUCUGACAGUGGCUUUACCAUUCUAUAGGCCUGUGUGUCAGGAGUACUGUAGACCAGUUUUCCUGUUUUCUUUCAGCCAGUUAUGGGAACAGAGUGUUCUUCUUUCAGGCCUAUAGUCAUUCCUGUCCACUGGCUCUCAGUUGUCCCCGUGGGGGGGAACCUGAACGACCUGCCUCUCCUUCUCCUGGGUCCCUGUGCUCAGGGAGCCCAGAUGGUGCUAGGCAUUUUCCUCUAGAUUCAGAAAUGUAGGCAGAGAGUAGUCUCCUCUGGUUUCCCAGGUGUGUCUGCCCCUCUGAAGGUCUAGCUCUCCCUCCCAUGGGAUUCAGAUGCAGGGAGACAUUUGACUGGGUCGUUACAGAUCUGGGCGCAGUCUCGGCCGCAGGGCUUCUGCAGCUUGACUGCCCCUAUCUUCCUGUGCCCAGAGUCCCUAUACAGUUUCUUGGACCAGGGAUGUGGGCAAAGGUGGACAGAAGUGAUGGUCUCUCCUGCCUUGUAGUCUCAGAAUUGCCCACAUGUCAGGGCGAUCAGUUCUCUCUCCCACAGUGUUUGGGAGCAGGAAGCUGUGGGCCAGGAUCAGCGAGUUUCAGGUGCCAGCUAGACAGAAUGGAUUCUUAACAUCAGCCUCCAUGUCCUUUGUGAGGCUUCUCCUCUCCAGUUUCCUCCCAUUCCAGUCUCCUCCUCUUGCCUCAAACUUUUCUCCCACCCAUUCUUCCUUCUCUUCCAAUGACAGGCCUUGUUCUAUCUUGUACCUGCCUUCACCUGAGUAAUGAAAUCAUCCCACACUUACCUUUCAAAGCAAUUAGAUGCUGUGGCUGCUGUGUGUCCAAUCUAAUUAAUUCUUGCAGCCUAGCCAUAACAUUAUUGAGAAAAUAUUCAGAUAAAUUAUUUUUUGGGAGGCCUUGAUCAUUACCAUUCCUCAUGCUGUAGAGAGCCUACUCUAGAGUGCCCCUGACCACUGGAUGACUAAUAUAUGGUUGACUCAAUAUAAGGCCCUUUUCUUAAACCAACCAAGAAUACCUUCUAGUUGUAUCUAAUUUGCUACUGCUACUUUCACCAGCCCAAUGUGAAAAAGAUCUCUAAAGAAGACCUUGGAGUCAUUCAAAGGCUCACCAACAUCUCUGCCAUGAAAGGAUGUCACUUCAUCAUUGACAGGAAAUGACUCUUUCCACAGAUGCUGGGAAGGAUUAUGAUUUCAAAGAGUUACAAGAAUGUCUCCAAAAAAAGUGUGUCUUCUAUGGACUCCCAAUCUUAGAAGAGGUGUAAACAACAACAGUGGCAGCAACCACCACCACUACCACCACCACAACAAAACAAGUGUUUGAGAAUAACAUCAAGAACCACUUCCAGAGUCCUGCCAGGUUGCCAGAGUCCUUCCAGGUUGGAGCUCCAAGGAGACAGGAAUGAAACAGCAACUCAAACAGACAGUGAUGGAGAAUUCCUGAUCGAGUUUACAUUUGUUUCACAUGCAGAAGACAAGCAUGCUUAAACCCUGGAUUCAGUAUGGAGAGCAUCUGCGUGGGAGGGU